CCUACGGGAGGCAGCAGUGGGGGAUAUUGCACAAUGGGGGAAAGCCUGACGCAGCGACGCCGCGUGAGUGAAGAAGGAUUUCGGUAUGUAAAGCUCUAUUAGCAGGGAAGAAAAUGAUAGUACUUGACUAAGAAUCACCGGCGAAUUACGGGCCAGCAGCCGCGGUAAUACGGAGGGGGUAAGCGUUAUCCGGAUGUACUGGGUGGAAAGUGAGCGUAGGCGGUUGUGUAUGUCGGGGGUGAAAGCCCGGGGCGCAACCCCGGGACUGCUUUGGAAACUGUGUAACUGGAGUGCGGAAGGGGCAGGCGGAAUUCCAGGUGGAGCGGUGAAAUGCGUAGAGAUCAGGAGGAACACCGGCGGCGAAGGCGGCCUGCUGGACUGGAACUGACGUUGAGGCUCGAAAGCGUGGGGAGCAAACAGGAUUAGAUACCCCGGUAGUC
rnacentral:rRNA from 1 species